AGCCGAAACGCCCGGACCCGCUUCCAACGCGGGUGCCCCGGCGUCGCGGCGGGUGGUUCCCGUCGCCUGAUGAUGGCAGCCCAAC
rnacentral:hammerhead_ribozyme from 1 species